UACGUAGGGUGCAAGCGUUAAUCGGAAUUACUGGGCGUAAAGCGUGCGCAGGCGGUUAUGUAAGACAGGUGUGAAAUCCCCGGGCUUAACCUGGGAACUGCAUUUGUGACUGCAUAGCUAGAGUACGGUAGAGGGGGAUGGAAUUCCGCAUGUAGCAGUGAAAUGCGUAGAUAUGCGGAGGAACACCGAUGGCGAAGGCAAUCCCCUGGACCUGUACUGACGCUCAUGCACGAAAGCGUGGGGAGCAAACAGG
rnacentral:rRNA from 1 species